AUCUGCGGCCAUGCCACUCUGAAUGUGCCCAAUCCCAUCUGAUCUCGGAAGUUAAGCAGGGUCGGGCCUGGUUAAUACUUGGAUGGGAGACCUCCUAGGAAGACUAGGUGCUGUGGGCA
rnacentral:rRNA from 1 species